CGGGUCCGCACGGCAGUCGCUGUGGGUCGUUUCGGUGUUUCGCUCUCCUCGCGCCGGCCGUGCAAAAAAUCUGCUCCGCACGGAAAAGAUCCAGCCGAAACCCUAGGUCAACCAAUCGCGUCGCACCUAGCUCCUCCCCAAUCCCCUCUCUCUUUUCAUGCCGCGUCUGGCGGCGCCGCUCCGCCUCCCUGUUUGCCCCCUGGACGGUCGCCGCCGCACCGCCGGCGCAAGCAGGAGCAGCGCACCGCCGGCGCAAGAAGGAGGGUCUGCUGGAGCUCCGUCCUUGAUGUUGAUGGCGGACUUAACCUCGCACCGGCGGCCUCCACAGGAGCAGCGCAGGCGACCUCCACAGGGGCCGGCGCAGCGCGUGCGAACUCCGUUACUCCGGCGAGCGCGAGGGAGAAGUCGGAGGCGCCCGGUCCUGCAGCAAAUAAGCCCGUAGGUGGUGGUGGAGAUGCGCAAGACGUUGGUGCCGGAGCUCUGGACGAUGGCGCGGGCAUUGGGACAGAGGCAUAUGUAGAUCUUCUCAGACGACCCUGCAUCUGGGAGGAGGAAAAUCAGUAGUGCCGAUCCAUGGGCCGAGGCUGAUGCUGGGGAGAGGCGGCGGCGCACGGAGGAACGGUGGCCCGUCCCGAGUUUCCGAUUCAUCGGCCUGGAAACAGAGUCGGAGACGAGGUUCGGUACGAUAGGAUUCGGGAUGGAAACGCGUCCCCGGACUCUCGGUACAUUUAUACGCGAUCUGGAGUCGAAUGUGUCCCAUAGUACUUCAUCUUUCCAUGGAUUUAUCCCCUUACACAGAGCCCACUUUGCCUCUUAUUUAUCAGAUCUGUUUCUACAUGGAUUCAUGCUCUCCUAUAGCCUGAACUACAAGUGGAAGGAGACUCUUUUUUGCUUGAUCUAGCCCCCUGAACAUUACGUUUUUGCUUUUGCAGAUCCGUUUCUACAAGACGAGGAAAAAUUUCGAGUUCAUAAGGGACAUGCUUAUAAGGCCAGUUAAUCCUCUAAAUGAUGAAUCCUUGCUUUACACAUAUAUUAUUAACUGUUAAUUGAUUUGUUCUAUGAAUACCCCAUUCCACUUUUUUGGGGGGCUUGUGGUAUAGAUACGGUUGAAUGUAGCCUUCUACUGGUGUAGUGGUGUACCUACAAUCUUCAUGCUUUUACACAACAUGUUAUUGUAAAGAGAUUUGUGUGCGCAUGCUUUUGCAUAGAUUUAUCAUUUAUUUGGUUAGGAACCUACAAUUUUUAGAUUUAUCAUUUGUUGUUGUGUUUACAAAUCCUAUAGCUACACCUGCAGUUAUGAGAACUAGGAUCCGAACUUUGUAUGGCGGAUUAUUUUCCCUUCUCAUGUUUGCCAGAAAAAACAGUUCUGGUCCAAUUGCAACUUGUGUACCAAGCUUGAGGAAAUUUGGAAACCAAAGAAAUAUAAAAUCCAAGAGCAAGGAGGAUAUGGAUUUUAUUUUUGUAGUUCUCCGUGUAAUCCUAACACAAGAUGUGAUAAUUUCCCACAUCAUUAGUCAUUUCUGCUUCGUUUAUUUGUUCAUGGUAAUAGCACUUUCAGUGAUUUAAGUUUGGUUAAUCUGAGAUACUCUUUUUCUUGAUUAUAUAAUGCCGUCAAACAGACUGGAGCAACGACUGAUGGUGUAACCUGAACGCAAUGGAGGUUAUGGAGAGAUGCAUGUCUGGGAUCCUCUGCUUCCAUCGUACACCACGGUCGGCGUAGGAAUUCGCUAACCCCUGGGUUGACUUGCAUUCUGACCAUAUGCUUUACUUAACCCAAGGCGAGCCAUUGUAAAUUACUAGGAAAUUAAUAUGUGUUAAAUUGUUUGAGGCACCCAUCAUACAGUAUUUCUCUGAUUAGAAGACCAUGUACAUUUCUCUUGGAAAUUUGAGAUGCGUUAGCUUUUCAAAUCAGUGUCAUGCUUAUCAAGAACGGGCUUGUUCUGUUGAUCAGUUGCAGGGCCAGCAGGUUGUUUAGGAUUCUAGCAAAUUUAAUAUCAAGACCUUGUGUUUGUGUGUGCGGAAUUUCCAGUGAAAGAAGCAUGGUUUUGUCCGAGCUUGACACUCAUUCGAUCUUUAUAUAUGGUGAUUGCUGAUGGCUGCCAGACUGAUGUGGGAAAAAAAUGUUGCACAGAACCUUGAUGACAUGAUAACCAAUUCUAUUAUUCAGAAUGUUAGAAGAUCUUCCAGGCUGUUGAACAUGAAUAUGAAAAAUAAAAGCGAAGUGAGAGGUUAGCCAGACUAUCUGGUUGUGUUGCUAUUAUUCAGGUUGGAACACGAACUGGAACUGAGCUUAGGGAAAAUAAAGUGAGGGUUGAAGACUCACUGAAUGCAACAUAGGUGGAUGAUGUUCAUCUGAAGGGCACGUGAGCGUGCGAGCAGCAGUAGGGUGCCAUGGCCCGGUGGCUGAUGCAGGAGGGCCCCCAAGCGGCCGCAUCUCGCUGGCGACGACGCGCCCUUGCCUGUCGCCAUGACCAGCUCCGCCGAAAUCCACCCCGUCGCCGCAUCCACCACAUGCUCGUUCUCCUGGUUGCCCAAGAAGACUCCUCUGCGAAGCAUUCGGAUCCAAUAGGGGUGGGACUUGCCAUGGAAGCUGUCAGGAAGUUGCUGGGCCGGAGUGCAUCAUGCCCGACCAGUAGGCACCUCUGCGGCUAAUGGGAAUCAUGUUAACCAUGACAAGGCUAUGAAUAUAGAGCAAGCCCAGUUCAGCGGUUAUUUUUCACGUAGGAAUCCAAUUAGUGAGAAAGCCAUUUAUAGUCUCUUCUAAAUCUGAUUGCACUCAUAUAUGACGAAACCUUCAGGUUUUGCUCUGUCUGUGUUGAAAUUGUUAUGAUUCUUUAUCUUGAUCAAGCAAAAGGAUGGAGUUCUAUGAUUCCUGGAGUGGGUAAAUUGCUUCUGGUUCAGAUUUGGCAUGAAAUCGACUAUGGGAGAAGGAUCCUGAUGGCAUUGCUCCCGCGGAUUUCAUUAACUCGAUUUUACCAAACAACAUCAAAAUUAUUUCUUUAGUAGAUGGCCUAGCUUAUAUAUAUGUUUCUUUGUCCUUACUUCUGUUGCUCUCGACAUAGCCAUCGAGUGUUUGGUACCAUAAUAUAUUCCUCUAUUUUCCUGGUUGUAUAUAAAUGUUGAGAACUUCAUUUGUAA